rnacentral:tRNA from 1 species
GGCGGGAUGGCCGAGUAUUAAGGCGUUAAAUUGUAAAUUUAAGAACGAAGAGGUUUCUUCUCUCACCA